rnacentral:rRNA from 1 species
UACAGAGGGGGCAAGCGUUAUUCGGAAUUAUUGGGCGUAAAGGGCGCGUAGGCGGCUUGGCAAGUGGAUGGUGAAAUCCCUCGGCUUAACCGAGGAACUGCCGUCCAAACUGCUUCGCUUGGGGCCGGGAGAGGUGAGUGGAAUUCCCAGUGUAGCGGUGAAAUGCGUAGAUAUUGGGAGGAACACCAGUGGCGAAGGCGGCUCACUGGACCGGUACUGACGCUGAUGCGCGAAAGCGUGGGGAGCAAACGGG